rnacentral:misc_RNA from 1 species
AACAAGCAUGCCAACAAGGCUUCUGCUGCCAUUAAUAAAGGCAAAAGUACUUGAUGUAUUAUACAAGCAGCAGGAGCAAAGAAGAAAGAAAGAUCGAUCCAGAGGGAAGCUUGUGCAUCCAUCAAAUCUUUCAAAUACCUUUUUGGUAUCUUUUUGCAUAUCUUGGAUUGGUACACACCUAUCAGACAUGGUGUUGGUUUAAUUGUACAAGGAAUUUGCAGCUUUUUCUUUCCUUUU